GGGAGGCUAGGGAUAGCAAGCCAGUAGUUAUUAUUAGGCCCUUUUCACCGAGGGAUCGGGUUAAGGGGAGGCUAAGAAAGUCGCAUAACAAUUGAAUCAAUCAACCUAAUAUUCGAGGGUAGUAUGUAAGAGAGAGCGGAAUAGAUGAAAUUGUAAACCCCCAACAACAUUCAUUCAUCCAUUGUUUUCGUUUGUCAAUUGAAUCAACAUUUAUUUUUGCAUGUUAAUAUUUUUGUUCUCAAAUCCAAUUUAUUAAUUUUUAUUUUUCAAGUCUUAUUAUUUUAAUUCACGCAAACGAGAAAGCCA
rnacentral:lncRNA from 1 species